ensembl:lncRNA
AUUUUUAUUUUGGUCUGUCAUCAGCUGGUCCACCCUGCUACCUAUGAACUAUUUCUUCCUCAGCUGCCCUUAACUGACGAGUGGCUGGGUUACUCUGUUGCCAAAUAGUGUGUGUUGAAGCACAGGGCAUUUUCUCAGCUGUCUUAGCUAGGCAGGGGCAGCGAUUGUUUCACUUUUCAGCACAAAGAAUGGAAGUGGCAGUCAUAAUUGAGGGUGUCAGAAACAGAGCCUUCUCUUUUUGUUAGCCAGUAUAGUUGAAUGAAGAUGAAGGAAGGGGGCAAGCAGGCUGAAACUUGCUUUCUAAAGAAGAUUUGAGCCCUCGUGAUGAUCACUGCUCUGGGAGACGUCUGAGCCAGACAAAGAACAUCUGGGACGCUUACUUCUGCACAGAUCUUCAUAAUCCCUCACAUAGGCUUUGUCUUAACACAGUACAGUCCUUAAAGGUGAUAAUUUACUGAAUGAGUGAAGCAGCAACCUGGGUGAGAGUGUGCCUGUAGGCAUUACACGGAAUCAAGGGAAUUGUUAUAUGAUGCAACAGAAGUAAUCCCUGGAAAUAAGGACAAGAAAGGGGAGUUGAUGAUAUACCUUUCGGCUUCCCUUUGGUCUGGCAACUCGCGUCUGAGGCAAGCUCUUCCCUGCUUUCCUCCCCGUGUUUAACAGAAAGGAAGCAACUGCCUGAUUGAAGAAUGUAAGGUAACAAAAAAGAUAUUGCAGUAAACUCUGUUGAUGCAGGUCCAGCUUGUUCAAUUGAGUGCAUAGUUCACUAUUCGUAAGACAUCUACUGGAAUUGGGAACUAGUGGAAAUGUAGAAUGAAGUGGUGAAGUCACUUCAGAGUCAAAAUUACAGUGUUUUAGGUUCUGUGAUAGUAGGCAAACAGUAGUAAAUAAGGCUUUUAUGCUAUAACACUGCUGUGAUUUCAUUAGUUAAGAGUCCCACAGAAAUAGCUAGGAUACUAGCUGUUACUAGAGAGCAGGUUUCCUGUGUAUCAGCAGGUGAUUAAGAGCCAUCUGCGUGGAGAUGCACUUCUGCUGUCUCUUUAAUCACUGAAACCUUACUGACAUGCUUCCCAGGGCCAACUCCCACUUGUAACCACUGACUGUGUUUGUGGCUUCUUGCAGAACAGACAGGGUUGGUAAUACAGAAGCCUUUUGUUUUUGUUUUGAGUCCCACUGAUCUGGUAGGCUCUCUUUGUUCUUACGCAUCUCUUGUCUGUCUA